rnacentral:rRNA from 1 species
CCUACGGGAGGCAGCAGUGGGGAAUAUUGCACAAUGGGCGCAAGCCUGAUGCAGCAACGCCGCGUGAGAGAAGAAGGUCUGCGGAGCGUAAAGCUCUGUCCUGGAGGAAGAAGGAAGUGACGGUACUCAAGGAGGAAGCCCCGGCUAACUACGGGCCAGCAGCCGCGGUAAUACGUAGGGGCAAGCGUGAGCCGGAAGUAUUGGGCGUAAAGAGUACGUAGGUGGUUUUGUAAGCGCGGGGUGAAAGGCAGUGGCUUAACCCUUGUAAGCCUUGCGAACUGCAAGACUUGAGUGCAGGAGAGGUAAGCGGAAUUCCUAGUGUAGCGGUGAACUGCUUCGAUAUUAGGCGGAACCCCAGUGGCGCAGGCGGCUUUCUGGACUGUAACUGACACUGAGGUACGAACGCGUGGGGAGCAAACAGGAUUAGAUACCCGAGUAGUC